CCCCAGUAGCGGCGAGCGAAGCGGCAACAGCUCAAAUUUGAAAUCUGGCCUCCUCCCGGGGUCCGAGUUGUAAUUUGCAGAUUGGUGCCUUCGGGGUGGCGACGGUCUAUGUUCCCUGGAACGGGGCGUCAUAGAGGGUGAGAAUCCCGUACGCGAUCGCCCGUCCCCCCGGUGUAAGGCCCUCUCGACGAGUCGAAUUGUUUGGGAAUGCAGUUCAAAAUGGGUGGUAAAUUUCAUCUAAAGCUAAAUACCGGCCGGAGACCGAUAGCGCACAAGUAGAGUGAUCGAAAGGUGAAAAGCACUUUGGAAAGAGAGUUAAACAGUACGUGAAAUUGUUGAAGGGGAAGCGCUUGCGACCAGACUCGCGCGCGGGCGCUCAACCUCCCCCCGGGGGGGUGCACUCGUCCGCGCUCGGGCCAGCAUCGGUUCCGGCCGCCGGACGAAGGUUCGGGGAACGUAGCUCCCCCUCGGGGGAGUGUUAUAGCCCCGUUCGGAAUGCGGCGCGCCGGGUCCGAGGACCGCGCUUCGGCUAGGAUGCUGGCGUAAUGGUCGUCAGCGAC
rnacentral:rRNA from 1 species